AUGAACGUCCAGAUGUACUUUGAAGAUGACAUGCAGAGGAACAGGCAGCUCUCUUUUGGAUGAAUAAACAGGCAUAGUUUGACA